rnacentral:rRNA from 1 species
AGAACGAACGCUGGCGGCAGGCUUAACACAUGCAAGUCGAACGCACCGCAAGGUGAGUGGCAGACGGGUGAGUAACGCGUGGGAAUCUACCUAGAACUACGGAACAACAGAGGGAAACUUCUGCUAAUACCGUAUACGCCCUACGGGGGAAAGAUUUAUCGGUUUUAGAUGAGCCCGCGUAAGAUUAGCUAGUUGGUGGGGUAAUGGCCUACCAAGGCGACGAUCUUUAGCUGGUCUGAGAGGAUGAUCAGCCACACUGGGACUGAGACACGGCCCAGACUCCUACGGGAGGCAGCAGUGGGGAAUAUUGGACAAUGGGCGCAAGCCUGAUCCAGCCAUGCCGCGUGAGUGAUGAAGGCCUUAGGGUUGUAAAGCUCUUUCAGUGGGGAAGAUAAUGACGGUACCCACAGAAGAAGCCCCGGCUAACUUCGUGCCAGCAGCCGC